UGGUGGUGUGAGUUGUCUGGUUGAUUCCGUUAACGAACGAGACCUUUGUUGUAUAAUAGGAGGCAGUAGUUUUUGCGUCAAGGGUGGCGGGGACUUGCUGGGAUACGAGCAAUCGCCCUGGCAAAAUCGUCGUCACUUGCAUAGCUAGUGUCAGUUUCCUUCUAUACAAGACAAAUACAGAAAAUGUAUUGGAAGUUAUAGGCAAAAACA
rnacentral:rRNA from 1 species